rnacentral:rRNA from 1 species
GAUGAACGCUGGCGGCGUGCUUAACACAUGCAAGUCGAACGAUGAAGCCCAGCUUGCUGGGUGGAUUAGUGGCGAACGGGAGAGUAACACGUGAGUAACCUGCCCUUAACUCUGGGAUAAGCCUGGGAAACUGGGUCUAAUACCGGAUAGGAGCGCCUACCGCAUGGUGGGUGUUGGAAAGAUUUAUCGGUUUUGGAUGGACUCGCGGCCUAUCAGCUUGUUGGUGAGGUAAUGGCUCACCAAGGCGACGACGGGUAGCCGGCCUGAGAGGGUGACCGGCCACACUGGGACUGAGACACGGCCCAGACUCCUACGGGAGGCAGCAGUGGGGAAUAUUGCACAAUGGGCGAAAGCCUGAUGCAGCGACGCCGCGUGAGGGAUGACGGCCUUCGGGUUGUAAACCUCUUUCAGUAGGGAAGAAGCGAAAGUGACGGUACCUGCAGAAGAAGCACCGGCUAACUACGUG